rnacentral:rRNA from 1 species
AGUGAACGCUGGCGGUAGGCCUAACACAUGCAAGUCGAACGGCAGCACAGUAAUAGCUUGCUCUUACGGGUGGCGAGUGGCGGACGGGUGAGGAAUACAUCGGAAUCUACUUUUUCGUGGGGGAUAACGUAGGGAAACUUACGCUAAUACCGCAUACGACCUACGGGUGAAAGCAGGGGAUCUUCGGACCUUGCGCGAUUGAAUGAGCCGAUGUCGGAUUAGCUAGUUGGCGGGGUAAAGGCCCACCAAGGCGACGAUCCGUAGCUGGUCUGAGAGGAUGAUCAGCCACACUGGAACUGAGACACGGUCCAGACUCCUACGGGAGGCAGCAGUGGGGAAUAUUGGACAAAGGGCGCAAGCCUGAUCCAGCCAUACCGCGUGGGUGAAGAAGGCCUUCGGGUUGUAAAGCCCUUUUGUUGGGAAAGAAAAGCAGCAGGUUAAUACCCCGCUGUUCUGACGGUACCCAAAGAAUAAGCACCGGCUAACUUCGUG